UUUUCACAUGCAAGUCGAGGGGCAGCGGGAUUGAAGCUUGCUUCAAUUGCCGGCGACCGGCGCACGGGUGAGUAACGCGUAUCCAGCCUUCCGUACACUCAGGGAUAGCCUUUCGAAAGAAAGAUUAAUACCUGAUGGUAUGAUGAGAUUGCAUGAUAGCAUCAUUAAAGAUUUAUCGGUGUACGAUGGGGAUGCGUUCCAUUAGGUAGUAGGCGGGGUAACGGCCCACCUAGCCAACGAUGGAUAGGGGUUCUGAGAGGAAGGUCCCCCACAUUGGAACUGAGACACGGCCCAAACUCCUACCGGAGGCAGCAGUGAGGAAUAUUGGUCAAUGGACGAGAGUCUGA
rnacentral:rRNA from 1 species